rnacentral:miRNA from 1 species
UGACUGACACCAACUAUCUACA